AUUGAACGCUGGCGGCAUGCCUUACACAUGCAAGUCGAACGGUAACAGGUCUUCGGAUGCUGACGAGUGGCGAACGGGUGAGUAAUACAUCGGAACGUGCCUAGUAGUGGGGGAUAACUACUCGAAAGAGUGGCUAAUACCGCAUGAGAUCUACGGAUGAAAGCAGGGGAUCGCAAGACCUUGUGCUACUAGAGCGGACGAUGGCAGAUUAGGCAGUUGGUGGGAAAAAAGCUUACCAAGCCGACGAUCUGUAGCUGGUCUGAGAGGACGAUCCUGCACACUGGGACUGAGAAACGGCCCAGACUCCUACGGGAGGCAGCAGUGGGGAAUGUUGGACAAUGGGCGCAAGCCUGAUCCAGCAAUGCCGCGUGCAGGAUGAAGGCCUUCGGGUUGUAAACUGCUUUUGUACGGAACGAAAAGCCCCGGGUUAAUACCCUGGGGUCAUGACGGUACCGUAAGAAUAAGCACCGGCUAACUACGUGCCAGCCGCCGCAGUAA
rnacentral:rRNA from 1 species